UGUCUUGCAGCUGCUAUGUUGCUUGUUUUUUCAUGUUUAUUUACUGUAACAGUUGACCAGAGUGAUUGAUGAUUUUUUUUCUCCCACAGUUAUCUUUAACAUAUUAAUAGUGAUUUUUUUUAAAUAAAUAAAAAUCAUUCACAACAUUUUGUAUUUGUACACAUGUUAACGUAAUAUAAAACGAAGUUUGUUUGUUUGUUUGUUUUUUUGUUGUUGUUGUUGUUGUUGUUUUGCUUUUACUUUUAUUUUGAUUUUUUGAGAGAGCAUUACGUUAUUUACAUAUAAAUACUGCAAUAGAUUAAUUUUUGAAGACAGCUCACAAAAAUUACACAGCGCAAUGAUUUUAAAAUGAAAUAAAAAAGCUUUAGCACGGGAGACAGGGGAAAAUAAUACCAAUAAGUUAAACGAGAAUUUAAAUCACUGUUGACCAUCAGAGUCCGCGAUAGACUGACCUUGACUGUCUGAUAUGCGCGAUACACCACGCAGGAUAGAGACAUGCAUUACCAAUCUAAGCCCGCGCGUGUUACAACAUUAUAAUUUGAAUCGAAUGAGAGUUGGAACACUCGGAGUUCCUCGGAUGGCUUGUACCUUGCACAUGACUGAAUGGAGCGUAGCGGAGUCAGCCGAGGAUUGCCGAAUGGUGUUGGAAUUAUGCAUGUAGCAGGAAGUAUCUGUGCAUGACAUUGUUUAUAUUAAGCAUGGAAGAUAAAGUGUAUGCAACUAUAAACUUUUUAUUAAUGGAAUAUGUUGCAAUAGACAUCUACCUGAACAUGUGCUGAAUGAUGAUAGAUCUAAGGAUUUUAUUUGACCAUAAGGCUUGCAGAAGAAAAGGACGAAUAUAUAUUGGCUUUACAACAGUUACAAUGGGCAUAAGAUGAUGGUGAUAAGUCCAGCAUUACUGCAACUACGUACCAAGAUGUCUCAGGAUUAGAAACAGAAAAACGGAGAUGUCUAAAAAAUACUAUUGUAAAGAGACCAGAAAACAGUGUUAAACAAGAUAUCACCGAUGUUAUAUUGUGAUGAUAGUUUUAACAUUUUUAAGCAAAAUUUGUACUUUUACUCAAGAAAAAUCAAGGUGAAUUACAUAUUCAACAGUUUAAUUAUGAAAGGAUGGCUAAAACGUGUUAAAGAAAAUUCAUAUCAGAAGACAAACCAACUGGAAAAGGAAUACCACCUUCCAAACAUAAUUUGCAAAAAGUCAGUACAUGUAAUUCGGGCCUUAGCUCUUGCAAACCAUACCAUAGAUGUGAAAAGGGACAUCAAUGUUAGGGAUAAAAAUGUAUUAUAUCAACUCUUGCGAUUGUGAUUGUGUUGGACUUGGAUGUAUAAUUUUAAAUUCUAUUUGGAAUGACUACAUAGUCUAUUGAUGAUGAAUUCAUUAUCUAUUUUUAAAGGUUUUGCUUUUUUUUUUAUUAUUUUUAAUGGUGUUAAUUCUCAUGGUUGACACUUUUACUUGUGCAGCAUUCAUUCCUAAUGCUUACUAUGUGUGUAUUUUAGAGUACUAGAGUUAGUGUAUUUUGAUUGCUUCAGUAAAAAAUUCAUAAAGGGAUAAAUUAAAUUGAAAUAUUUAGUCCAAUAAUAUAUUUUGGACUCCGAUGGUAGUAGUUUGCUUAAGUGUCAUGCUCGGAUACGCACCCCAUUGCAGAACGUGUAAUACAGUAGGUGCAGACACGGAAAAUCGCCAAAAUCGUAGGGCAGUUAAAGAAACAAACUAAGUAUUUUUUGUUUAAAAAAUCAAGGAAAGAUUUGUUUUUUCUUCUCUUUAUUAGCAGGCAAAUAAAACGGUAAAUACCGGGUAAUUUUUAUAAUGUUUAUAUAACAUUUUGCCUUUAUUGGAGGAUUCACAUUUGUUUUGAAAAUGUAUACACAUGUAUACAAAUCUUUGAAAUUGUAUUUCAUAAGUAAAUUAAUCACAUGUUCAUAGUUCCACUUAUUAUUGAAUUGCGAAUGUAUCAACAAAAAGUAAAGAGAGUGUAAGAUGUAUAUUUUCGACGUUUUCUGGUGAAUCCACCAACUUUUUGUUCAUAUAAUAUAGAAAGGAACUUAGUCAUUGUAAUUGAAAUCUACAAAUGUUUCUUUGAUUAAUGUUUUGGUGGACCCACCAAACUCCCCACUUUAAAAAAUUAGGCAAUGCUGAUAAUAUAAUGUAUAUCAUUCAAGUAUUCGGUUUGUUUUUGGUGGGUCCACCAAGUAUUUGUUAGUGAAAUUAAGGAAACCUAGGAAUUUGUUUUUCUACAGGUUGGUGAGUCCACCAAACGACUUUCUAUAUUUAGAGACAAAUUAGUUGAUCUUUGAGUUACAUGAAGAUUUUCGAAUUUUCUGGUGGACCCACCAGGUUUUUGCUCUUGUGUACAUAAAUGUAUUAGGUGUCUCUACGUUAUUUUACAAGAGAAUUAUGAUUGCCUUUUGAUUUUAAUGUCUUUGGUGGAUCCACCAAACUGCCUAAUAUUUGUGAAAACUAGAUAAUCUUGACAGUGAAUCAUUUAAGAAUUCUUGUGAAUUUCUAUUCGUAUUUUUGGUGGAUCCACCAAGUAUUUGUGAGAGAAAAAAUGAAUGUCUUGUUAGUUGAAUUUUUGCAUUUUGGUGAGUGCACCGACUCUGUAUAAAGGACGUUUUUUAUACGGUUCUACAAGUCAGUUUCUCUCAAAGGUUUGUUUCAGUAUUUUAAAACUGGUGGAUUCACCAACGGCAUUUUUAAAAUGUUAUCGAGAAUUUCACCACAUUUAAUGUUUUUGGCGGAACCACCAAAAUCCCCACUACUGAUAAAUACACUUGCUAUAUCUAUUUCAUGUAAUUCAAGUAUUCUUAGGUAUUCGUCUUCGUAUUUUUGGUGGACCCACCAAGUAGUUGAAUGGUUAACUAGAGAAUUAUGAAUUGUAAAAGUCACUCUUGUUUUCUUGGUGGAACCACCAAGAUCAAUAUUUAUUUGGAUAUAUUCUUAAUUCAAAUUGGUGCACUCACCAAUUUUUGACUGUUAAUAUAGAAAACCGAUAAAUAAUUUGUCUGUUUUAACAUAAAAAUUGGUGUUCUCACCAAUUCUCAAUGUAUUCAAUCAUGGCAAUGAAUUAAAAAAAAUGUUGAUUGCUGAAAUUG